AAGAUGGACCACAAGACAGACAGUCUUCUGAAAGCCAUCUUCUCUUAACACAUUUAGAAAGCGGAUCUCCUAAACCCAGACCUUGCUGGGCAGAAGCUGGAAAGAGACUCUAGAACCAAACCUGGCUUUCUGCUGCUCACCCUGGGGCAAACUGCAAUGAGUUCUUGGAGCGCAUUUGGAUACGCAGGUGUCUUCUACUUUGCAAGUGUCAAGGAGUGUCAGAGUUUUGGGAUGAAACCUUCUGUAAUAUCUGACAAGACCACACACUGCUGCCAGGAUUGCUGCUCUCAACCAGACAGGGGACUCGGAGCAUGGAGGAAAGUCUACAGCUCCAAUAUGCCCUGUAAAAGGUAUGAAGAGGGAUUGAAGGACAGGAAUAGUGCUGGGACUCAGAGGACUGAGGCACCUUUUCUUAAGGUGAAGAGGAUUCUGUAGAUCUAAUGGAGACAGUGCUGAGUAGGGCAUGCAGCCUCUUUGCUGUGUAAAUGAACACAACAAUGCAGUGUCCUUUAACAAUGAGUGUGUAGCUUCAUGCUAAGGAUCCUUCAACGGGGGAUCCUGACCCUGUCUUCCACUUGCUCCUGCCCUGUGCAGGGUGCUGCUGCCUCUGCUCUCAUAUCUGGUGUGUCCAGGAGUGGUGAAAGUGAGCUAUCUAAGAAAAAAAUAGAUAAAAUACAGCAAGAAGUGCAUAGUAAAAUAGAUGGGCAGUAGGUCAUUUUAUAGCUCUUUCUUAGCUAAGCUGGUGCAAAUGAAAGGAAUAAUCAGCUCUUGGGGACAGGAGAUGGCAGGGAGGAGGGUGGAUUGUGAAGGCAGGGGAGAAAACUCAAUCAAUGCUGCUACCAAAGUAUUAGAAACAUUAUCAUACACCCUUAAGUAACUGGAAUGGGAUUCAUCUAACUUGUCAAAAAGAGAGGUGUGCAUACGGGCACCAGGCACAUCUGUGGAGUAUCCUAUGCCAUGUGGUAAAUCAGCUCCUGGCUGCCUGAGUUGCUCUUUCUAUCCUUUGUGAGGGAGUCCAGAUGCCCAGCUGACCCAGGUGACUAACUUAGCUAAAGUGAGCUCAGAUUAAUGCUAUUCUUACUCUUCAAUUAGGUUAUUGUCUGAGUUUACAAAUAAAUCCAUAAACUAGUUUGAUUAUGAACAAAUUCUAUAAGCACCUAAGAUUGUACCUAUGUUAAUGAUGAAAAAAAAACCUCUUCUCUGUAGAUUACAUUACUAAAGAAAUGUGAUCAUCCUCCAUUUCGUGUCGUUCUUUGCCAAAUGCAGUUUCUUGCCAAAACUGAAAAAUCAUGUUUAACUGGAGGAAAUUCCUUGAAGGCUUGCCAUCUUCAACAUCACUUCUCUCUUCCAUUGUUUCUAGAAGGAAUAGAACUCCAAAGUACUUUAAACAAAAACGACCUCUGCUUCUCUGUGUCAUUUGAACAUAGCUUAACCUCUUCUCUAAGGACAGCUUGCUUUCAUUCUCCAGAAAGGGAUGAACCAAACCCAUGAAAUUAAAAUGCUGGGACAACUUACCCAAAGAGUCAUUUUAUCUAAUCUUGUACCAAAAUUACUGCUGUGGCUUUAACAUUGUUUUAUGUUUACUGGAUGUAAUAACCAUAGGCAAUGAAUGUGCUAUGUACUGUACGGUAUACAGCAAACACAAUUAGAAUUAAGGUUAUCUAGGUACAGAUUUGAAUAUCAUUUGAAACUAUUUCUUAGGUUGAGAAUACUUGGUUUGGAGAUAAUUGAACAACCAUGUAAAAGACACUGUAAGAGAUAAAUAUGUACUUAGUCAUAAGGCUAUAUUGCUACAGCUUUUGUCUGGUGAUUGUUAUAGCACUGUAAUGCUGUAAGUCAGCAUUAUGGAAUGCAAUAAGUUGUUAUUACCUGGCCAUUGAUCAGAUGAACUGUUGGAUGCUUCUCCAAGCCACCUGAAGCUGGCUGUGCUUUUCCAGUGAAAUCAGUGCAUACAUGCCUGACUGAUCAGAAGAGCUGUGUUUGAUUCAUUAUUAUUACAAUAAAGUUGUUUGUUCACAACUAA